rnacentral:rRNA from 1 species
GACGAGGGGUCCAAGCGUUGUUCGGAAUUAUUGGGCGUAAAGCGGGUGUAGGUGGCUCUAUAAGUCAGGAGUGAAAUCCCCAAGCUUAACUUGGGAAGUGCUUUGAUACUGCAGAGCUUGAAUGUGGGAGAGGAUAAUAGAAUUCCAGGUGUAGUGGUGAAAUACGUAGAUAUCUGGAGGAACACCGAUGGCGAAGGCAGGUCUCUGGGCCACUACUGACGCUGAGAAGCGAAAGCAUGGGGAGCGAACAGG